rnacentral:rRNA from 1 species
CAAAUUUGACCUUUUAUAACUGAUUUUUUUAUUAAAAUUAUCGAUUUUCGAUAAUUUUAAUCAUGAACUAAUAAAAAAAAAUCAUAUAAAUAACUAUAUGGUUGAAAUAAAAACUAAAUUUUCAACGAUGGAUGUCUUGGCUCCCAUAUCGAUGAAGAACGCAGCAAGAAUGCGAUAUGCAAUGUGAAUUGCAGAACCAUGAAUCAUCGGAUAUUCUAACGUACCUGACACUGGCCUAAACCAGUAUACUUGUUUCAGUGUGCGUAAUCAAAUAUUAAUAAUAAAUGUAUGAGAUUUACUCAUAUUAAAUAAAUGCUCAUUGUAGCAAUCAGAUUUAUUAUCUGAAUAUACAAUAGAGAUAAAAUUUUAAUUUGCACCUGAAAUCAAGUAAGAUGACUCGCUGAACUUAAGCAUUGUCACUAA